UACGUAGGGGCCGAGCGUUGUCCGGAGUUACUGGGCGUAAAGCGCGCGCAGGCGGUCGCCUAAGCCGACCGUGAAAGCCCCCGGCUCAACCUCGGAACUGCCUUCGAUACUGCGGGUCUCGAGUCCGGGAGAGGUGAGUGGAAUUCCUAGUGUAGAGGUGAAAUUCGUAGAUAUUAGGAAGAACACCAGUGGCGAAGGCGGCUCACUGGCCCGGUACUGACGCUGAGGCGCGAAAGCGUGGGGAGCAAACAGG
rnacentral:rRNA from 1 species